rfam:Pseudogymnoascus pannorum VKM F-4516 (FW-969) contig_1099, whole genome shotgun sequence.
GUCCCUAUAGCUCAGUGGUAGAGCGCGGUUUUACACUCAUACGCGUGACUUCUCGCCGGUGCCUACGGUUCGAAUCCGUAUGGGGACG